rnacentral:rRNA from 1 species
AUUGAACGCUGGCGGCAGGCCUAACACAUGCAAGUCGGGCGAGAGGCGGACGGGUGAGUAAUGUAUGGGGAUCUGCCUGAUGGAGUGGGAUAACUACUGGAAACGGUAGCUAAUACCGCAUACCAUCAGAUGACCCCAUAUGGGAUUAGCGUUUAGGUGAGGUAACGGCUCACCUAGGCGAAGAUCCCUAGCUGGUCUGAGCGGAUGAUCAGCGACACUGGGACUGAUACACGGCCCAGACUCCUCCGGGAGGCAGCAUUGGGGAAUAUUGCACAAUGUGCGCAAUCCUUAUGCAGCCAUGCCUCGUGUAUGAAGAAGGCCUUCGGGUUGUAAAGUACUUUCAGUCGGGAGGCGUUACCGACAGAAGAAUCACCGGCUAACUCCGUGCCAGCAGCCGCGGUAAUAC